GGGCCUGUAGCUCAGUUGGUUAGAGCGCACCCCUGAUAAGGGUGAGGUCAGUGGUUCGAAUCCACUCAGGCCCACCACUUGCCAUAUCUAGACAGAUAAUGGGGCCUUAGCUCAGCUGGGAGAGCGGUUGCUUUGCAAGCAUCAGGUCAUCGGUUCGAUCCCGAUAGGCUCCACCAUCUUCGCCCU
rnacentral:tRNA from 1 species